GGGGGGAACCCUGAUCCAGCCAUGCCGCGUGUGUGAAGAAGGCCUUUUGGUUGUAAAGCACUUUAAGCGAGGAGGAGGCUACUGGUAUUAAUACUACCGGAUAGUGGACGUUACUCGCAGAAUAAGCACCGGCUAACUCUGUGCCAGCAGCCGCGGUAAUACAGAGGGUGCGAGCGUUAAUCGGAUUUACUGGGCGUAAAGCGUGCGUAGGCGGCUUUUUAAGUCGGAUGUGAAAUCCCUGAGCUUAACUUAGGAAUUGCAUUCGAUACUGGGAGGCUAGAGUAUGGGAGAGGAUGGUAGAAUUCCAGGUGUAGCGGUGAAAUGCGUAGAGAUCUGGAGGAAUACCGAUGGCGAAGGCAGCCAUCUGGCCUAAUACUGACGCUGAGGUACGAAAGCAUGGGGAGCAAACAGGAUUAGAUACCCUGGUAGUCCAUGCCGUAAACGAUGUCUACUAGCCGUUGGGGCCUUUGAGGCUUUAGUGGCGCAGCUAACGCGAUAAGUAGACCGCCUGGGGAG
rnacentral:rRNA from 1 species